GCAGAAUGCCGCGAGUGCGCCCUGGUUAGGUUGGAGUCCCUUGGCCAUCAACCUUUUCACCCGGUAGAGCUGGUUGCCUGUCGGGAUGCCAGGAUACGCAGUUAAUUACUAUACGGUGACUGAGGUGCUACUUAUGGCUUGCCACUAUGCACAGAUAUUUUUUACUGUCAGUGGCAUUCAACAGCCCAGCAUUUAGACAUUGUAUAACCGCGUAUUGACAAUCUCCUUUUUUUUUUUUGAGACGCAGUAUCGCUCUGUCGCCCAGGCUGGAGUGCAGUGGCGCGAUCUUGGCUCAGUGCAACCUCGGCCUGCCGGAUUCAAGCAAUUCUCCUGCCUCAGGCUCCCGAGGAGCUGGGACUAUGGGCGCGCGCCACCACACCGACUAAUUUUUUGUAUUUUUGGUAGAGACUGGGUUUCACCAUAUUGGCCAGGAUGGUCUCGAUCUCCUGAACUCGUGAUCCGCCCGCCCCAGCCUCCCAAAGUGAUGGGAUUACAGGCGUGAGCCACCGUGCCCGGCCAACAAUCUCCAUUUUUAAGCAAGAGACUGAAAGCCUACCUGGUCCCAUUGCCUGACUCAGACUAUUUAGACCACUACCAAACAGGGCCAGGGGCGGUGGCCAUAAUCCCAUUAUUUUGGGAUGCCGAGGUGGGCGGAUGACCUGAGGUCAGGAGUUUGAGACCAGCCUGGCCAACAUGGUGAAACCCCGUCUCUACUAAAAAUACGAAAAUUAGCUGGGUAUGGUGGCGUGCACCUGUAGUCCCGGCUACUCGGGAGGCUGAGGCAGGAAAAUUGCUUGAACCCAGGAGGCAGAGGGUGCACUGAGUCGAGAUCGCACCACUGCACUCUAUCUUGGGCGGCAGAGCGAGACUUCAUCUCAAGGGAAAAAAAAAGACUGGUCGGGUACGGUGUCUCACACCUGUAAUCCCAGCACUUUGGGAGGCCGAGGCAGGUGGAUCACGAGGUCAGAGGUUCGAGACCAGGCUGGCCAAGAUGGUGAAACCCCGUCUCUACUAAAAAUACAAAAAUUAGCCAGGCGUGGUGUCACGCGCCUGUAAUACCAGCUGCUGGGAAGCUGAGACAGGAGAAUCACUUGAACCCGGGAGGUGGAAAUUGCAGUAAGCCAAGAUGGCAGCACUGCACUCCAGCCUGGGCGACAGAGCAAGACUCCGUCUCAAAAACAAAACAAAAAAAA
rnacentral:lncRNA from 1 species